rnacentral:rRNA from 1 species
AGCAUGAACUUAGCUUGCUAAGGCCGAUGGCGACCGGCGCACGGGUGAGUAACGCGUAUCCAACCUGCCUUACACUCUUGGACAGCCUUCUGAAAGGGAGAUUAAUACAAGAUGUUAUCAUGAGUAAGCAUUUUCGCAUGAUUAAAGGUUUACCGGUGUAAGAUGGGGAUGCGUUCCAUUAGAUAGUAGGCGGGGUAACGGCCCACCUAGUCUUCGAUGGAUAGGGGUUCUGAGAGGAAGGUCCCCCACAUUGGAACUGAGACACGGUCCAAACUCCUACGGGAGGCAGCAGUGAGGAAUAUUGGUCAAUGGACGAGAGUCUGAACCAGCCAAGUAGCGUGAAGGAUGAAGGUUCUAUGGAUUGUAAACUUCUUUUAUACGGGAAUAAACGGAUCCACGUGUGGAUUUUUGCAUGUACCGUAUGAAUAAGGAUCGGCUAACUCCGUGCCAGCAGCCGCGGUAAUACGGAGGAUCCGAGCGUUAUCCGGAUUUAUUGGGUUUAAAGGGAGCGUAGAUGGGUUGUUAAGUCAGUUGUGAAAGUUUGCGGCUCAACCGUAAAAUUGCAAUUGAUACUGGCAGUCUUGAGUACAGUUGAGGUAGGCGGAAUUCGUGGUGUAGCGGUGAAAUGCUUAGAUAUCACGAAGAACUCCGAUUGCGAAGGCAGCUU